CGAAAAUGAAAAACUUAAUUAAUAGAGAAACACGAUUAAAAAAAUAAAAAUAAAACCCAAUUCUCUCGACCCUGGCUUUCUCUUUCUCUCGCCUUCUCGUCAAUUUCUUCUGGGUUGAUUAGGGUUUUGCUUCUUCGCUGCAAUUCUCUCCAUCCUUAGUUUCUUUUUGUUUCAAUUCGGAGAAAUCCAAUCAAAGAUGCCCAAAAAUCCCCAAAUCGACUGCCCAAACCCCAAAAUUGCAUCCUUUCCCCAAUUCCAAUCAGCAUGAUUCCUGUGAGACUCAAGCGGAAGGAAAUGGAGGUCCGAUUCGGGACAAAACCGAAGGAGGUGGCGCUACUGCAUCGGCGACGACAGCGCCGGGUCGUGGGAGGGGAUGAAGUCUCUGAGCCAGAUCUUGAGGUUCAGAGAGGUGGACUCGCACCUUGUGCGUUGACGUUGUGAUUUUGACCCAGCCGGUCUUGGCUUCCUCGCUGCUCCAAACUUUCUGAGCAGGACCAUGCGAAGCGUAGUCGUCUUCGUCAAACACAGUCGACUCGGAAGCUUAAGAACAAGAACUUGAAUUUGGCUCCUUGUACUCUGCUUGUUGAAUUUAUCAGUUGAAGCUUGUAGGAGAAACAUCAAGUUCAAUGGUUCAGUUGCAUGUUCAAAGGUGGAAUCACAUCUUGUUGAUGCUCGUGUGCCUCACCAACCAAAAAGAGUGUGAUGUGGUAUGCAUAUGAUAUCUUUUUCGCAAAGCAUCUGUUAAGAAUUGUUUACCUGAAUAUGAUUAACAAGUGCUAUCAAUAUCCCAAACUUGAAAUAAAAUAAAAUAACAUAAGAAUUUUAUGGACUUUUACUGCUUGGGUGAAUUUUAGGUUUGCACUACCUCUGUUUCUCAUGUGUACUGCAACAGAUAUGGCAGUUGUAUGUUCUUGAUUAUACCUUUUCCCUUGAAUAUGCAUACCAUGAAACUCUUGAUAGUUUCACUAGAAGUGUAACUCGUUUUAUCUUGGUAAACUAGUUUUUAGCAUGUCUUUUUCAUACCUACUAGUUUUUAGCACCUGGAAGGUAUAGCUUUCUACUGAGAUAUCAUUUAAGUGUCUUGACUCUGUUUUGCACCUUUUUUGUUUUUUUGUUUUUUUGUUUUUACAUGUUUUAACUGAAAAGACUAAAAAUUUGAGCUUACUGUUGGAUUUCAGUGUAAUGGUUCAGGGAAGGGCACAUAAGGAGCAAUCUGGGUUUGAUUGUCAGGAUGCACUUAGAUUCCAGUAAGGUUAUUAGAGUUCUGAUUGAUGGGCGUGAACUCUUAUUCUAUGUCUUUUAUUUAUUUGUAUUAUUGGUAGCCUAGUGUAAUUAAAGACAUUAAAUGGUUCAUAUGCUUCAUGAUCUAGUAUUAUGAUAUAUUCCUGGAUAUGAAAGUUGAUUGAUAGUUUGCAUUUGUUAGAUGUGUUGGAUCUAUUGAAUGCGGUGUUGAAGUUUUGGUUUUGCUCAUAGUCUGUUGGUUGAUAUCGAUUUAUGUUAUUUUCAAUUGAACCAAAUAUCAAACCUUUUCAGGUUUUGUUGAUAUUUGGCACUCCAACCAGAUCUUUGCCAAUGAGUCACUUGAAUAUCACAAAACCUGUGCAGGCGUGUUGUGAAGGUACGUACUGGACAUGAAGUUUAAUCUUCCAUUUUGAAGAGCCUUGUGAAUAAUGUGAAGAUGUGUGAGGCUCAUCCCGUUAAGCUUUUUUGAAUAAAAGCUAAAACUGCUAGUAUGUACUUUUGCCUUUGAAAUAUAGGUCUGGAUCUUGUACUUCCUUCAAGUCUGAGAAUAAUGAACUACUAAGAGAGUUUUGUAUUGUAAACCAUGUUUGCAGCAAUAUAAGUUUCUUUUGUUCCAAA